GGAGAGGUGUCCGAGAGGUCGAAGGAGGCGGUCUUGAAAACCGUUGAGCCAAGGUGCUCCGGGGGUUCGAAUCCCUCCCUCUCCG
rnacentral:tRNA from 1 species